ensembl:lncRNA
GUAGGAUCUUGCAUUCAGUCAGUUUGUCCCUGCUGUGUGCGCUCCCACCCAACGCCUCCAUUCUCUACCCCCUGCAGAGUCCUCUGAUUGCCGUGGAAACUGCACUUAAAGAGAAAAUUAGGAUUUCCUCCCUCCAAAUUUAAAAGUAUAUCUUAAUUGGUUUCAUUUAUUACAGAUGGGAAGGCAAAAUAAACCUCUUGUUUUAUUUGCUCACGGAGAUGAAAUAAAGACCAAAAAAUAAAUAAAAGUCAGCCUCAAGAAUGCUAACAGCAAUUUAAAUCAAAGAAAGCUGUUGCUCCUGCAACUGAGGCGACGUAAAAAAAAAAAAAAAAAAGAGCGGCACAAAAAGACGGAGAGAAGCCAAAUGUUUCAAGCUCACGGGGCACACGUUGCACACAUACAAACCCACCAAACCAGGCAACACUUAUCCUCAGAAACACCCUUCAGUGUGGACUCAAGAGGGCUGACUGUAGAUGUGGAAAAUUACUGCUCUGAUCUGACCACCCCUUGCACAAUCAAGACUGAAGCCUGUGGGUUCGGUGCAGGUAUAUUUAUCUCCUGUGACAACUAACCUUGCAUUCAUCCAGACACUCAGACGGAACUUAUAACAGAACAGAAAUCGUACACAUAUUCAGUGUAAACUAAAACAUGUUCCAUUUGUGGCUUCGUAAGUGCUGCAUGUGUCUGGGUUCACGUACAUGCCAUUUAAAUACCAGAACAAGGACGGAGCUUCGGGUAAAACACAGUUCUCAAGCAGAAACUGUCAUCGCUCUGCUUCUCCGGCCGUCUCUGUCCCACCCAAAAUACCCGUUCGCUAGGAGUCAGCAUGGACCAACACGUUGGUAACAGUGGCAAGAGGUCAGUUCUCCUUAACUGUGUAGUUCUGUGUUUAACCUUAACCAAACUGUUACCACACAACAUCCUGGGGCCCAGGUGAGCACGCCACUAUGCUGGGCACAACACAAAUAUCGCUCCAGUCUUGUUUCUGUACAUAUAAGCACAGGGGGCAAGCAGCGGGGCACGAGCGGUUAGUUUAUUUCUGGAUGUAUUCAUUACACAGUGAAAGGGUUGCAGUUGGAGCUCGGCAAUUGUGGCGCCAGCGUGUGAUUGUGGCAAGACAGCCUGACCGCUCAAAAAUGGCUGAGCUAACAAGGACAGGAGAGCAAGCGAGGUUUGCAGCUUUUGUGUUGACAAAGAAGAAGCGGCGAACGCAAAAGGGCGGGGAGAGAGUGGAAUGUGGAGUGGACAAUCCAAUUCUUUCUGUUGUUUGGUCAGCCCUUGAGGUAACAGUGACCAAUUCACACAAAAAAAGAAGAAAAAAAUCAGGAACUGUGAGAGAUAGCAUGAAAAUGGGGAAGUAAAGCAGGAGAAAUGGCGAUGUGAAAAGAAAUGGAGGAGCUAGCUUUGCUCCGUCCUCUGAACGCUGAAAAAGAUGGAAGUUUGUUUGACGACUGUUUGAAAUGGUGGAAAUAAAAGAAAAAAAACUUUCUCCUGUCACCUUUGGCUUUCAGUGGCCUGCACUGCUGAUGCUGUGUAGUUGUUUUGUGGUAAGAACGCCCUGAGGGAAACACAGUGGGACACAGGGUGUUAUGGUUCAGCUGUGUUUGCUUGCUUACAACCCGAGGAAGAGGGAAAAAAAAGAAAUAACAGACAUAAAAUCAAUGAUGAGCCUGUUAGUGGAGGUUUAAAAGAGAACGUUUAGAGAGGAUCUCUGGGUGUAAGGUGAUGUAGUUCCAGUCUGUAAAAAGCAUGCGGUCCAUCUAAGAGAAGGAGGGACGCAGCAGGCUCUGUGUAGAACUGAUUUUUUGUAAAAGCAUUGGACUGAUAAAGCCACGAGACAUGUGAGCUUUAGCACUUGUGUUGAUCUGUUUUUAGGGUGUUUAUGUGAGGUUUAAGGGUGAAAGGGGUGAUCAGUUAGUGUUUUUCUGUCUGUGCACAGAAAAACACAACCCCACACAUAUGCCUGCAAACACCAGGUCUCUGGUUAUCAGGCCUCAGUGUAGUUUCGGAUGAUAAAUCACAUCCCAUUCUUCAACACUGACAGCUUUUUGUGGCAGCAGAUCUGAUUCUGGCCUCUUAAAUCAAGACAUGUGGUUGAACGGAGGCUGUGAGAUCUAAGGUUUGCAGUGCCUCUCAAAGAGAAUGUCUGAAUGGGCCUUUUGAUAAGAAAACAGCUUGAAGCCAUCCCACACAGGCAUGAAAACAGCAUGCACCUCCCGUGUGAGAGCUAAACAGAUUGGAGGGGAUGUGAUGUUGGAUCUGUUCCUAUUACCCAACGAGCCAAGCAAGACGAAUGAUUGACAAUGAUUAAGUGUAAGAGGGUAUGCAAGUAUCAUUCCCUGAAACAUAUUUCCUGUGUGUCACUGUGUAGGAGGGUUGGGCCGAGCCUGUCCGUCAAAAAAGACAGGAGAGUGCCGUUUCCAUCAUUCGCUGAUAUGUCAGAUCUGGAUCAGAUAACUGUCUACCGGGAGGCCCGAGACAUCAUCCGAUGCUCUCCUCUCUUCAUCUCUAAAUCGCGUCUGUUUAACAUGCAGGUCACCACAACAAUAAAUGGAUAUUUUGAAGAGGACCAAAUAAGAGGAAAUGCUUUUGGAAUGCGGUUAUCCAAGUUUCAACUUGGAAACCUUCAAGGACUCUCUGCCAAGUCUCAGGAAAACAACGCAUGCUGACAAAUUGGUUGAAUCGUGAUCAAAGCACCUGCCACACUGAGAACCUGAAACAGGCACCAUUUGGCAGUUCACAAGGUCACUUGUUUUGUAUGAGGAAAGAAGAUGUGCCAAAAUAUGCUUUCAAUCAUAUGCAUGUAGAUAAUAGCAUCUUUUUUUUUAAGUUAGCAAUGUGAAUGAUGCAUGAGAAUACGUUUUUAACAGUUCCAAACCUUUCCUAUUUUUCUUUCUUCUUUUUAAGCACCACUUGGCGUUCAUUAUGAUCUUUCUGGAUCUGGAGCUGUGUUUCAUUAAAUACCUGUUUUCUGUUACCUACUUUUUAAAAUUAGUGUCCUGCUGAGUUCAGUGCUUGUUGUGUGUUUUCUCUGUUUGUAAUGGCACACAAACAUGUAAACAUGAAAUAAAACACUUUGACCAAAUUCCAUUUAACUGCUUAUUAUUUUAUUCAUUAAUUAUUUUUUUUAUUUUUUUUGUUUUUUCCCAUUUGCAUGUUCUGUAGACGUUGUAAGAAAUUGAGAAGUGGUAAGGCAA